CAGAAAAUAGUUUAUGUAAAAUAUUAGUUUUGGAGACUAAAGAGAGGGGGUUCCUUUUUUCUGA
rnacentral:tRNA from 1 species